rnacentral:tRNA from 1 species
AAUGUGUGGCGGGUGGGAUCAUGGCGGUGUUUUUGCCGCUGCCGAGCUAUGAGAGCUUUCUCUAUAUCCUGUUCUCGACGGGGACGCAUUU